UACAUUUUUGAGUAGUGAAUAGUUUGUAUAUAGCAAUGAAGUGAGCGUAAAUUGAGUAAUUUAUUUUUCGUUUUCUGUUUGGGGUUGUCCCACCUGCCGUUACCUAACCUAAGAUAAAUGGUUGCUUUUGCUGCGUGUUGUCUUUUCMUCAACCCUUAAGAAAACCAUAGAUAAAGACGAGGACGAAGAAAACAUGCCUGUAACCGAGCAAAUUCAUAAAGAACUGUCGUGCGAAGAAAAGGAUGCAGCUGCAUUUUUAAGAGAAAGGUUUUUGUUUCUUGUUGCAUCUUUGCCGGUUAAACCGAGUAAUAUCACUAUGCAUAACAAUACGGAAGUAUCAGCACAAAUAAGGGCAUUCGAUUUGCCAUUCGAGAAUGUGUUUGUAGAAAACCUACAACCUUCCAAUUCUCCUGCAGUGAUUCCAAAAGGCAUCCUUCGAACCAGUGAUAUAUUGACUAUUUCUUAUAAAGACAUGUAAGGAAUUGAAGUGUUUUUAAAAA